rnacentral:rRNA from 1 species
AUUGAACGCUGGCGGCAGGCCUAACACAUGCAAGUCGAGCGGAUGAAGGGAGCUUGCUCCUGGAUUCAGCGGCGGACGGGUGAGUAAUGCCUAGGAAUCUGCCUGGUAGUGGGGGAUAACGUCCGGAAACGGGCGCUAAUACCGCAUACGUCCUGAGGGAGAAAGUGGGGGAUCUUCGGACCUCACGCUAUCAGAUGAGCCUAGGUCGGAUUAGCUAGUUGGUGGGGUAAAGGCCUACCAAGGCGACGAUCCGUAACUGGUCUGAGAGGAUGAUCAGUCACACUGGAACUGAGACACGGUCCAGACUCCUACGGGAGGCAGCAGUGGGGAAUAUUGGACAAUGGGCGAAAGCCUGAUCCAGCCAUGCCGCGUGUGUGAAGAAGGUCUUCGGAUUGUAAAGCACUUUAGGUUGGGAGGAAGGGCAGUAAGUCAAUACCUUGCUGUUUUGACGUUACCAACAGAAUAAGCACCGGCUAACUUCGUG